UCCGGUUGAUCCUGCCGGCGGCUACCGCUAUUGGAGUUCGAUUAAGCCAUGCGAGUCGCGAGUCUUAGGGACUCGGCGUACCGCUCAGUAACACGUGGGUAACCUGCCCUAUGCUGGGGGAUAACCUCGGGAAACUGAGAAUAAUACCCCAUAGUUCACCAUGCCUGGAACGGUGGGUGGACCAAAGCUCCGGCGGCAUAGGAUGGGCCUGCGGCGUAUCAGGUUGUAGGGGGUGUAAUGUACCCUCUAGCCCUCUACGCGUACGGGUGUUGAGAGACAUCGCCCGGAGAUGGAUUCUGAGACACGAAUCCAGACCCUACGGGGUGCAGCAGGCGCGAAAACUUGGCAAUGCGAGAAAUCGUGACCAGGGAACUCCAAGUGCAUCGGGUAAGACCGAUGCUUUUCUUGACUCUUCAAAGGUCUUGGAAUAAGGGGUGGGUAAGGACGGUGCCAGCCGCCGCGGUAAUACCGGCGCCCCAAGUGGUAGUCGCUUUUAUUGGGCCUAAAACGUCCGUAGCCGGUCUGGUACAUUCGUGGGUAAAUCAACCAGCUCAACUGGUUGAAUUCUGCGAGCACGGCCAGACUUGGGACCGGGAGAGGUGUGGGGUACUCUCAGGGUAGGGGUAAAAUCCUGUCAUCCUGAGAGGACCACCUGUUGCGAAGGCGCCACACUAGAACGGAUCCGACGGUCAGGGACGAAGCCUAGGGGCACGAACCGGAUUAGAUACCCGGGUAAUCCUANGUGUAAACGCUGUGGACUUGAUGUUGGGGGCGCUCCGAGCGCACUCAGUGUCGAAGCGAAAGUGAUAAGUCCACUGCCUGGGGAGUACGGUCGCAAGGCUGAAACUUAAAGGAAUUGGCGGGGGAGCACCGCAACCUGAGGAUUGUGCGGUUUAAUUGGAUUCACGCC
rnacentral:rRNA from 1 species